GAUGAACGCUGGCGGCGUGCCUAAUACAUGCAAGUCGAGCGAACGGACGAGGAGCUUGCUCCUCUGACGUUAGCGGCGGACGGGUGAGUAACACGUGGAUAACCUACCUAUAAGACUGGGAUAACUUCGGGAAACCGGAGCUAAUACCGGAUAAUAUAUUGAACCGCAUGGUUCAAUAGUGAAAGACGGUUUUGCUGUCACUUAUAGAUGGAUCCGCGCCGCAUUAGCUAGUUGGUAAGGUAACGGCUUACCAAGGCAACGAUGCAUAGCCGACCUGAGAGGGUGAUCGGCCACACUGGAACUGAGACACGGUCCAGACUCCUACGGGAGGCAGCAGUAGGGAAUCUUCCGCAAUGGGCGAAAGCCUGACGGAGCAACGCCGCGUGAGUGAUGAAGGUCUUCGGAUCGUAAAACUCUGUUAUUAGGGAAGAACAAAUGUGUAAGUAACUAUGCACGUCUUGACGGUACCUAAUCAGAAAGCCACGGCUAACUACGUG
rnacentral:rRNA from 1 species